AGCAAUUGCUCGAAUAAAGAAUAUAGUUCAUUAAAAAAUCAUACAUGUGAUGAUAAUAAGGAAGUUAUGUUUAUAGUUCAUGUGACAUGUAAAUUGAAGCAACUUGUGAAGGCUAAUAUCAGUGAGAACUUUAAUGGUUACUUAGAAGCGUAUUCACAUCAUGCAUUAGAGAUGCUGAAGGGAUGCAAAUGUGAUGAGGUGAAUGGAACAGAGAAAAAGACAGGAGGGCCCUGCUUCAAGAUCCUGGGAGAAAAAUCUUCCAAGGAAAGAAAAAAACAGAAUAAAUGUUUAUGCUUAAUACAAAAAAUGAUAUCCGAUGUUAGCAAUUGCUGGAGGAAAAUUUUGAACAUGAACGCCAAUGGGCACUGACACAACUGUGAUGGCAGAGAAGCCCCAUGAUUUGAACACCUUUCACUUGCAUUCACCAAGUGUUCAUCUGCUCACACUGAUCUAUCUCCAUGCCAGAAGCUGCUGUAUUUAUCCUGGCAAAGCUAUGGCACCAUGAGCAAGGGACCGUGAAUUCUACUCUACUCCACUGCAGACACCAGUAGACAGAGAAGCAAACCAAUGAAACAGAAAAUGAUAAUUCACAAUAAAAGCUACUUGAUAACGACCUGGACA
ensembl:lncRNA